UGAGGAAUAUUGGUCAAUGGGCGAGAGCCUGAACCAGCCAAGUAGCGUGAAGGAUGAAUGCNCUAUGGNUUGUAAACUUCUUUUAUACGGGAAUAACAAACGNNACGUGUACCGCUNUGCAUGUACCUUAUGAAUAAGCAUCGGCUAACUCCGUG
rnacentral:rRNA from 1 species